rnacentral:tRNA from 1 species
GCUCGUCUAGAUCAGUCGGUAGAGCAUGAGACCCUUAAUCUCAGGGUCGUGGGUUCGAUCCCCACGCUGCGUG